rnacentral:lncRNA from 1 species
CGGCCGUCAGGGAGCCAGGUGAGCUUCACGUGGCCUCAGCAGACCCAGAACAGCACGAUUUUCCACUUGUCUGAGGAGAAAGCCAACAACUCCAAGAAGGCUGCCUGGGGCCAGGAGGGUCUUCCAAACCUGCGGCCUCCCUCAGUGGGCUUCACGGCGACUCAGCCAGCGCCCGGCCAGGGGACCUGGGCAGUCUGCUCCAUCUCUCAGCUGGGGCUCCUGGCUGAUUUGAUGGGGAAGAGAACCUCAUGGGGUCAAGGUGGAGCAGUGACCUGAUCCAGGUGACACACCUGUCCAAGAGCCAGGUGUGGGUAAACAUGGCCAGGGUCCUGUCUCAGUAGGAAGAACAGUACCUUCCGCACAGGGCUGAGGGGGUGUUAAAUGAGAGAGAAUGAUUCACCCAGCACAGGGCCGGGCACACUGUGGGUGACUGAAGAAGGUCAGCUCUUCGACGGCCACCCCGGCUCAGUCAGUCCCCACCAUCAGUCUCCCUGGAUACCCUCUUCCACCCUCCACUUGGGGCAAACUCCCUGGGAAGCAACCCGAGCUGCUCACACCAGAGAGAGAAGGCUGUGCUGGAGCCUCCUGCCCCUCACCCUCAGAACCCGACUGGUUCAGAGCGGGCAUUAGGAAGGCCUCCUGGCUGUCCCCAGAGAGUGGACCACAGUUGGGCUGCGCCAGUCCAGGGGUACCCUGUGUGCCAGGGAUUGGUCCAGAGGUGGACACCUUCCGGAAAUAUGUGUAAGUUUCUGGAAAAUGUUUCUAUUUGCCUCCUCUGGACUUUGGGGAUCAUUGUGAAAGGACAAGAUGGGGGCGUGGAAGGCCAGGGAUGUUGCAAAGUUCCAAACUGGAGCUGCAGAACCGCCACCCCUGGAAGCCCCACCCAGACUUGUUCCAUGAGAUGAUCUAAGGUUGGCUCAUCGUGAGUCAGACUCUCUCUUCCAUUCCUAAGACGACCUCUGUGAUGGCCGUAGGGAGGACUGAGCUAAUCGGGCAUCCAAAGCACCUUGUGCAGGACUCGCCCUGGUAAGAACUCAGAGCAGGGAAACUCAGAUCUGGCUGUGCCUUCUGGCGAGGACAGGCGGCCCUGAAAAGCAGCCAGAGUUCAAACUCCCCCCGAGGACUGGGAGGACCCUGCCGAGGCCUGGGCUGAUGUGGCCUCAAGGGCAAAGAGGAGUGAAGGCUGCCCCAAAGGUCACCUGCUGGCCCUCCACAGAAGAACUGGAGUACAGGACCUGAGCAUCAAGUUCCCACCCCAGAGUCCCUCACAUCACACACAAUCCUGGGCAAGUCACUUCACCUCUCUCAGCCCUGACCUCCGCAUCUGUGCCAUGGGCACGUGGCUGGUGAUCUCAGGGGUUGCCCACAAGGCUGACCUUGGCAUCCAAGGCUUCAUCUGGGAAGUGGAAGCCACAGGCUCGUCCACCUCCCAGGAAACUCUGCUGUGCCAAGCAGCAGGACCUUCUGCUGGACGAGUCCAGUGUGUCCAGAUGUCUGCUGUCCCCAGAAAUAAGACAUCUGCGCAAGUGUCCCUUUCCACCCAGCCUCCGUCCGAUGACUUAACGUGGCUGCCACAGGGUCAAGAGGACAGGGUCAGGACCCCGCCGUCGGAACAUGGAGUGUGCCCGGAAGGGCCCCCUGGGCGCCCUACACCCCGGCUUUCUGUCUCCUGGGCCUGUGUGUCUGCAUCCUAACGACUAGGAACACAUGGUAUGGAGAAAGGAGGACAUCGGGUGUGUCAUCUUCUUCAGAGCUGACACCCACCCCGUCAGAGGGGGCAGUCUUCAGUGUGUGGUAACUGUAGCUCUCACUUGAGGAGGUGAUUGUUAGGGUUUGGAUAGGAGGUGUCCCCGGGCCCCUGUUAAAGGAGUGUGGAGGUGAAAUGCCUCCAUUAUGAGUCUCGUGACCUGACUGGUCCAUCCAAGUUUGAAUGACCCCUCUGGAUGGUGACUGUCAGCAGGUGGGAUGUGACUGGAGGAGGUGGGUCCCUGGGGCCCUUCCCCUCUGCUUCCUCAAUGCCAUAAGGGACAGCUUUUCCCUGUGGGGCCAAGUGUUGUCCGUCUAUGGACUGAGACUCUGAAACCAUGAACCCCAAAUAAAUACAUGUUUCCUUCUCUAAA